rnacentral:sRNA from 1 species
ACGCAGGAAAGGAGGUGGUCCAAGUAAUGGUUGAUCUUAGGACUGGCGAGGUGGCCGUCCGCUAGGACGACGCUCGCGUUCGCGCGACGCCGUUCGCAGCGAAUCCCAGACGGACACCCGGACCCCGGGCUGCCGGACUCGUCCGACCGGCCCCGCCCCAAGGCGGGAGACAGCCCGGGGUCUGCCCUUG